rnacentral:rRNA from 1 species
GUCCACACAGUAAACGAUGAAUACUCGCUGUUGGCGAUAUACUGUCAGCGGCCAAGCGAAAGCAUUAAGUAUUCCACCUGGGGAGUACGCCGGCAACGGUGAAACUCAAAGGGAAUUGACGGGGGGCCCGCACAAGCGGAGGAACAUGUGGUUUAAUUCGAUGAUACGCGAGGAACCUUACCCGGGCUUAAAUUGCAACUGACGGAACCGGAAACGGUUCUUUCUUCGGGACAGUUGUGAAGGUGCUGCAUGGUUGUCGU